rnacentral:lncRNA from 1 species
AUGAGCUUUGUGAAACAGAAUUCUGUAAUGCUUCAAGUCACUAAGGCGUACGUAAUAACUAAAUACUGCUUUACAAAUCAGCAAAAUGAAAAUAAAGAGAGCAAGAGGAAAAGGAAAAGAAAAAAAAGAAACAAAACUGUAAAUAUCGCUUAGAAACUAUGGCUGGAGGGUGUGGUGGCCUUUGUGCGAAUCUUCAGGCACAGCCCUAGUGUGCUGAAUGUCACGGAGAGAUUUAUGAUUCUCCAAUGCGGCAGUUUAGGGGGGCAAAUCAUUUGGGAGGGUAUGAUCAGAGCAGACAAACUUGUGUCAUUCUAGAUGGAAACAAAAUCAGAUGCAAAUGUACUCAAUUAAACAGAAUUUGGACCAUUGGACAACGAUCCUCAGUUGUGUCCAUUAAACCAAUAACUCCAAUGAUCCCAGUUUCCUCCUGGCUCUGCGUGCACUGUCUUCCCUCCAAGGCUAGGUAAGCAGAAAAAGAGAGCAGCACUUUCUCUUUCAACACAAUAAACGAGGCUUUUGCUUACACAGCACGGUUUGGGGUUGCAAAGCCAUAAGCAACUGCAAAGAGGGAUGGACACGGCCCACUCCAGACUAAAGCUGCUAAAGCCAGCAAACCUUCCAAGUAAGGGCAGAUACUCCACUAUCAAGCCACAGGAUCUCAGAAACAGGUUGUCACACUGUGCCACAUAUGCGAAAUAGAAAUAUAGAAAGUGCUGGUGCUCCUGAUGCAGCUGAGUUAGAGGAGAGAGGAGUUAUAUCCAUAGGGCAAGUGGAAUGGAGGUUCUGAAUUGAGUAUACUAUUGUUCUACAUGGUCCAAGAAACACUGGAAGCUGAAGGGUUUCAGAAGAAUGCUGACAGCUUAUGGAUAUGAGGAAGGCCUGGUUAAGCUGCUGAGCCUGUUACUCCCUAGUUCACUCUUCAGCAGAGGUGCCAAGUUGGAAGCUGACUUUGAUGCUUAAACAUAGUUGUGAGUGCUCAAGACUCUUGAGUCAAGAGCAGCAGAGCAGUCAUUACCCCUAGUUGGCUAGUCCAUCUUCAGGGCCAACAAUAGUGGCUGCAUUUUUCAAGGAAAAAUCUGAAGGUGGGAAUCUGCUGGGAUUCCCAGGUUAGUGUCUCCCAGAGGAUGGGACUUUAAUUGUAUCUGUUUUUUAUCUAUCUCUCUUUCCUCUCCCCAUUUCUCUACCCCUUCUUGUCUUUGGUCUUUUCUCUUCUAAGAAACUUCAAGUCUAAUUUUUUCAUUAAAAAAAAAUGUCCAGCCAAGUAGGUGGCUUAAUUGGUAAAGUGCUUUUGCCCUCAAAGCAUGAAGACCUAGAAAUCUGAACCCUAGAAGCUAUGUAAAAGAGCAGUGUAUGAACAUUAAUAAUGAUCAGUGUGCCAGGAUAUCCCUAAAGGUGCAAUAGUGGUCCUCGACCUGGGCAGUCUAAUGGGAUUUAUGGCCUGUUCAAGAGGAGGCAACCAUGCCUGGCACUAGAACCUAGGGUAACCAAUGUCCUGGAUCUUAGAGAAGAACCUACUACUACCAUGUUGUCAAACCAGCAUCAUUCCUAAUUUGCAUUCAUUCUAAGUACUUAUGCGCACAGAUAAAUAAACAUAGCUCUCACCUCUCAUGGAAGAAACUCCCCUUUGCAAUAGACAGAGACCAUUACAGAAAACCACAACAGGUUAAAAUGAAGAGAAAAAAUGAUUAAUGGUCAACGGAAAAAUCAUGUAUACACAGGCAACAGGAAAUGAUGGACUCAAGUUGUGUUGUGUAUUUACACCCACAUACCCACACACCUACAUACCUACACAGAACAGUCUAGAAUUUAAGAGAGGGGAAAGUGAAUGGGGGAAAUGAUGUCAUUAUUUUAAUUAAAACAAAAAAAAAUUCCAGCUGGCUAUGGGUGUGCACAGUUGUAAUCCCAGUGCUGGGAAGAUGGAGACAGGGUUUGCUGGCCAGCUGGCCUGCCUAUUGGGUGAGCUACAGGAGAAUGAGUUAUCCUGGCUCAAAAUGAGGCAGACAAAUCCUGAAUAACAAACAGCCAAAGUUGUCCUCUGGCCUCCUACAUGUGUGUGCACAAAUACAUGUGUACACCCCCAUGGAUACAUAGAUAGAUAGAUAGAUAGAUAGAUAGAUAGAUAGAUAGAUAGAUAGAUAGAUUGAUUGAUAGAUUGAUAGAUAGAUGAACAAACAAUCAAAUAGAUAUCUAUUAACUAAGGGAUGGUUCCCUAAUAGAAUUCUCCUGUUUUAGUGUACACAGGAGGUAAAGGGGAAGCCUGAUUUGAAAUGCAGAUUCCCAUGCCUCGUGGCAAAAGGGUUAUGAUCCCUGUGCCCACAUGCGGCACCUGGGAAGGAGUGUGGGAAGUUGUCAAAGUUGAAGAAGCUUUAUCAGAAGUUUUGGGCUUGUCAAGGACAGUGCUGUGUACAGUCAGCUGGUGGCCCAAGCUGGAAGUCCCAAUUUAAAGAACAUUCUCCAGUCUCUGCUAGACCCUUAGCUGUGUGUAUGAGGAGCUAUGACUAACUCACAACAUUCAUAUGUGAUUGAAAUAUUCUUUCCCUUUUUAAAUUGGGUUAUUAAGACAGUUUCAAUAUAGUGCAGGCUGGCUUAGAGCUCAUUAUGGAGCUCAGAAAGCUCAUAAAUUCAUAGCAAUCCUCCUGCCUCAGCCUCAAAAGUGCUGUGAUUAUAAGUGUUAUCUGCUAUGUUCAUAUUUAAAUGGUUUGGGUGAGAACUAACCACCUACAGGUUGAGACUAGACCUAGAUGUUGGAAGGCUAAGCAGAGAGUCAGAGGCAUGGGAGCUUCUCAUAUGAACUAUGUAGCUUCAGCCCUGAUAAAAAUUGCUAUUUUAAAGGUCACAAGAAUAAUGUCAGAACCAUGGUACAUAUACAAGUAGCAGGAUAAUUUUGCAGAUGGUAAAAAUAACCAUUUUCCUAAUACAAGUUUAUAAGAAGAGGGGGGUGGGUUAGAAUGAAGAUGGGAUUUCUGACUUCCAUAGUUGAAAGCCCUCCCUCAGUGUAGGAGCUAGCUACUUGGGCAGAGAGGAAUAAUUCUCUCUAGUUUUUGCCAGCUUCAGUUAAUGGGAAUGGCCAAGCCACUUCUGUAGAAGCCGCUUUAUUUGCGUAGAAAACACAAGAAAAUUUGUACUUGAAAGAUUUGAUUUUUGAGUUAUGUAUUUAGCUGUGAUUAUAUGUGUAUAUCCGUGUCUGUCUGUCUGUCUGUCUGUAACUGUAUGUCUUUGUGUAUGUGUCUAAGUAUGUGUGUCUGUAUGUGCCUCUGUGUUUGUGUGUGUGUCUCUGUGUGUCUGUGUGUGUCUCAGUGUGUGUACCUGUGUCUACAUGUCUGUGUAUGUCUAUACAUGUGUCUUUGUGAAUGUGUGUGUGUGUUUGUGCGUCUAUAUGUGUCUGUGUGUGUCUCUCUAUGAGUGUAUCUAUGUAUGUGUCUGUGUGUAUCUCCGUGUGUCUGAACCUGUGUCUGUGUAUGUCUGUGUGUAUGUGUUUGUACAUGUGAAUCUGUGUGUGUCUGUGCGUAUAUGUGUGUGUUUGUGUGUCUGUGUAUAUGUGUGCCUGUGUGUGUUUGUAUGUAUUUGUCUCUGUGUGCUUGUUGAUGAAAGUGUGAAGCAUUCAAAGGUGAAUAUGACACGUGGGACUUCCAUACCCAUACAGCUCAUGGUGUGUGUGUGUGCACUCAGAAGUCCUGCAAGUCCAUAAAAUAAUCAUAUGCAAUAAAUAAAUGAUCAAAAAUUACAUGACAAAGUGAGUUAGAGAGUAAUUAGAGGACAAGUGAGGGGUGUGUCACUAAAUGUAUGGCAGAAGGCCCCCUUUCACACUCUGGGGCAUCAUGGAAAACUGUUAUCUAUAGGUAAUACAUAAUUCCCAUGAAAAGUUUACAUGAUCCACAUCUGUGCAUAUAGCCAAAGCAAUGUGUAUGAGAACUUUAUGCAAACAGCAAUGGCAGUGCCCAACAGCCUCAGUGGGGAACCACAUACUAGGUUCUCUCUCUCUCUCUCUCUCUCUCUCUCUCUCUCUCUCUCUCUCUCUCAUGAGUCUACAGCAGAGGCAGAUUUCCACCUGCAUCUCCUUGCAAGUCUUGAGCAUAUUUACGCAGCAGUGCUGAGUGACCCAGACUGAUCUUGGCUGCUAGAAACAGCAUGUAAAUGGGAGUCAGCCAAUUGAGGAGAAGAAGAAGAAAAAAAAAAAAAAGAGUCACUGGUUUUCAAAUUCUUGGUCUGCUCUGAAAUCGCCAUGCUCCUCUUCAGAAGGUACGCCCCAAAGAGCUACCAUAAGGGAGUACCAGUAUGUCCUCAGCGUGUCCCCAGUGUGUCCCCAUCCCUUCAGUAAACUGCACUCACAGUGUCAUUUUUUUUAAACAUCCAUCCAUACCUGACUUGCUGUACAAAUCACAGGCUGAGAAAGGAGUUGCUUGUGCCAACACACACAUUUCUUCGAUAGUCAAAAUUAAUUCUGAGAGGAGUUCAUAUGCUCUUGGAUCUG